rnacentral:misc_RNA from 1 species
UUCAAAAUCCUAGAGUUGAAAAGUCUAGAACUUGGCUGAAUUUCAAGCUUGGAGCUUGGAAACUGGCUCUCAGAUUAAUUUAAAAAAAUUCAAUGAAAUUCUUUAUUCUAUAUUGAUUCAUACAACAAGUACAUAAUCAAAAAUGACAGGGAGAGAAAAAAUAAGGAAACCUUGUGCUAUUCCUCUCCCAAAUUUAGAUAAGGUUACAUAUAGUCCGAAAUAGGUUAAGUCUUUACUUAUUGUUCGCUUUAGUCUUUAGUUGUUCUCUAGUUGUUCACUUCACUAAAUUUUCAGUUCUUAUAAUUUUUCUCACAAUGUAGAUUUUUAAAUUUAGUUGCUUCAAAACCAAACAUAGAAUAAAUAAUAAUAAUUAUUAUUAUCAAUAACAAAUUGCAAACAAAAUAAUUAUCGUAUGGUUUGCAACACUGCCGCGGAACAGUGGAAUCACAGAAAAUAGCGAUGUCUUUGACCUUUACUCCAAAGACCUUAAAGAUACCUCUGUUACACGUCUUUGGUUUAUUCCACCAUCGUUUAUGGGGAGAGGGAGCGAGUGAUGAUGCAGAAGAGUUGUGGUAACCAAUGCUAAAUAGCAUUACUGGAAUCGCAUAUUUUUGAGAAUCACAUUGAACAGAUGAAACUGAUGAUGCAGUAGUCUACUUAAUUCAAGCUUGGCGCGCUCGCAAAAAAUGUUUCUCUUUUGGUUUCUUCACCUUUUUUUUGUAUUUAUUUUAAAUAUUUUUUAUUUAAUAAUAUACACAUUACUUAUCAAUUUUUGUCCAGUCAUCGGCGAAUCCAGAGAUGACCGGACGCCUCACCUCUGCAAACCACGUACAACUAUGAAUCUUAUUACCUAUUAUUUAUUGUAGGUAGUUCAAUGUUUUGUCAAAAGCUAGUGUGGCAUAUGAGUAGCCCACAUGCAAACUGUGAGGCCAUUCCAGACCGUCGUAAACUUUAAGGCCGUUUCUCUAGACCGUCCUAGCUUUUUUGUGUGAUUUUUGUGUGAUUGUCAAGUUUGUAGCUCAUCAAGUUUUCAGUUGAUUUUUGUGGUGUGGUGAAGAAUACCGUUCACAGCUUAGGUAAAAGUGUCUCACCAACUCUCGACUCUUUGAAACUGCGAUCUCGUACCGGCUAGUGCCGGAAUUUAGUGCCACCCUAAUAGGAGCGCGCCUAAUUGUAGCGAGAUUCGAAGGUGAACUUUGGUGUCACAUUGUAAAAAUUUCAUAUCAAAAUCCUUAGCAUAAUCAAUCAUUCAACUUCAAUAUAUUUUGUCCAUUCAAAUAAAUUUAUUCAACCGUCAAAAUAUUUACAAUUAUAUUUUUAUAUGAUUUUGUCAUUGCCAUCUCGAUCAUACUGUUAACUGUUCCAAGGAGGAUAAUAAACUGUUCUAAUACUCUGUUACAGAAUGUAGUAUCUGUUCCAUUUUUACAUUAUUACUAUAGAAGUACUGUUUUGAUUUGAAUUAAUUAUUAUUAUACAAGAUUUACUAACUGAUCUUCACCUUCCAGUCUUAUGUUUUGUUAAGACUUUAUUAUGAGAUCAAAAUGUAAUUAUAUUUAGUAUACUGUUGAGUGUUUUUUGAAUGUGAUAAUUGAGUUUCUUAUCUAAAAUAUUUAAAAGUGAAUCUGAAUAUAGAACUAUCUUUUUGCAAAUAUUUCUGUAAUAGCCGGUCUUGAGCUGUUCUUGAAGAAUGAAGUGCAAGAAUAUUCCGGCUGAGUUCCAUCGUGAAAGAGUUGGCGUUGCAUCUAGUGCAGAUGCUCGAUUCACCCAUAACAAGAUCGAAGUUGAACUGGUUUGUCGCCGCUUCAACGGAACUUGCUAUUAUACCACACAACCAAGAAUAUCACCAUCUAUUUCACUUGACUAUUCCGUAUGGAUUGGUGAUUUAUACACUUUGACUGUUCUGUACUGUAUGGAAUUUGAGUAUUCAUAAGAAUGACUUGUCUUAUACUCCCUCCUGAAGUCUCCAAGACGAAAUCUUAAAAAAAAUCUAGUCUAUACACCAGGCUUCAUCAUAGAUUACUUCUGCUCAGACUUGGAUUACCAUGCUAUAAUAAGUCAAUUGAUAACAUCUCCGAUAUGUCAAUAAUCCUCAUUUUAUAGUAAACCCUUGAGAUUGAAGUGCUAGAUGAAUUACUUGAAAAGGUGACGGUCAACCCGAAUUUAUGUUUCUUGAAUUAUCUUUGUUCGGUUGUGAAUCACCCAGAAUUGUGCAUGGGUUUUUGCCAGAUCAAUGCGAAUGAAGUUUACCAUAAAAAUAUUUUAAGGGACGGUUUCCGAGCUCGGGAUUUAGCUAAGUUCUAGACUUUAAACAGCUGGAGUCAGAAAACUGGCUUUCCGAAACGGGGCCUCGUCGUAGUCCACGUUUAAAUUAAA